rnacentral:rRNA from 1 species
GAUGAACGCUGACAGCAUGCUUAACACAUGCAAGUCAACUGUGGCGGACGGGUGAGUAACGCGUAGAGAACUUGCCUCACAGAUAGGGACAGCAUGAGGAAACGAAUUAUAAUCUGUGAAACUGUCGGAGAGGUUUGCGUCCCAUUAACUCGUUGGAGAGGUAACAGCUCCGCAAGGCGAUGAUGGGUAGCCGGCCUGAGAUGGUGAUCGGCCACAAGGGGACUGAGACACGGCCCGUAGGCCUACUGGAGGCAGCAGUGGGGAAUAUUGAACAAUAUACCAAAGUCUGAUCCAGGAAUUCUGGGUGCACGAUGCAGUUGUCGGAAUGUAAAGUGCUUUCAGUUGGGAAGCGGUACCAACAGAAGAAGUGACGGCUAAAUACGUGCCAGCAGCCGCGGUAAUAC